CCCUUAGAUGUCCUGGGCCGCACGCGCGCUACACUGAGUGUCAGAGAUACGAGUCUGCCUGGUCCGGCAAGGUCUAGGUAAUCGCUAAAAGACACAUCAUGCUUGGGAUAGAUUAUUGCAAAUAUUAAUCUUGAACGAGGAAUUCCUAGUAAGCGCAAGUCAACAGCUUGCGUUGAUUACGUCCCUGCCCUUUGUACACACCGCCCGUCGCUACUACUGAUUGGAUGUUUAAGCGAGGUUCUCGAACUGCUAGCGACUUAGCUUCGGUGAGGUCGCAGUGUGGGAAGUGAACCUAGCUUUGGUGUCUAGAGGAAGUAAAAGUCGUAACA
rnacentral:rRNA from 1 species